rnacentral:rRNA from 1 species
GUGUUUCGAUUCAGAUGAGUGCGUUGAGUUUGAUCCUUGUUCAGGACGAAACGCUGGUGGCGUGCCUAAUACAUGCAAGUCGUACGCUUCUUUUUCCACCGGAGCUUGCUCCACCGGAAAAAGAAGAGUGGCGAACGGGUGAGUAACACGUGGGUAACCUGCCCAUCAGAAGGGGAUAACACUUGGAAACAGGUGCUAAUACCGUAUAACAAUCGAAACCGCAUGGUUUUGAUUUGAAAGGCGCUUUCGGGUGUCGCUGAUGGAUGGACCCGCGGUGCAUUAGCUAGUUGGUGAGGUAACGGCUCACCAAGGCCACGAUGCAUAGCCGACCUGAGAGGGUGAUCGGCCACAUUGGGACUGAGACACGGCCCAAACUCCUACGGGAGGCAGCAGUAGGGAAUCUUCGGCAAUGGACGAAAGUCUGACCGAGCAACGCCGCGUGAGUGAAGAAGGUUUUCGGAUCGUAAAACUCUGUUGUUAGAGAAGAACAAGGAUGAGAGUAACUGUUCAUCCCUUGACGGUAUCUAACCAGAAAGCCACGGCUAACUACGUGCCAGCAGCCGCGGUAAUACGUAGGUGGCAAGCGUUGUCCGGAUUUAUUGGGCGUAAAGCGAGCGCAGGCGGUUUCUUAAGUCUGAUGUGAAAGCCCCCGGCUCAACCGGGGAGGGUCAUUGGAAACUGGGAGACUUGAGUGCAGAAGAGGAGAGUGGAAUUCCAUGUGUAGCGGUGAAAUGCGUAGAUAUAUGGAGGAACACCAGUGGCGAAGGCGGCUCUCUGGUCUGUAACUGACGCUGAGGCUCGAAAGCGUGGGGAGCAAACAGGAUUAGAUACCCUGGUAGUCCACGCCGUAAACGAUGAGUGCUAAGUGUUGGAGGGUUUCCGCCCUUCAGUGCUGCAGCUAACGCAUUAAGCACUCCGCCUGGGGGAGUACGACCGCAAGGGUUGAAACUCUAAAUAAUUUGACGUCUGAAUCUUCCAAUGCCACC